GCUCCCUUAGCUCAGUUGGACAGAGCGUCGGCUUGCGGAGCCGAAGGUCGGAGGUUCGAGUCCUCCAGGGAGCACCA
rnacentral:tRNA from 2 species